AGAGUUUGAUCCUGGCUCAGAUUGAACGCUGGCGGCAGGCUUACACAUGCAAGUCGAGCGGUAGCACAGAGAGCUUGCUCUUGGGUGACAAGCGGCGGACGGGUGAGUAACGCGUAGGAAUCUACCUAGUAGUGGGGGACAACAGUUGGAAACGACUGCUAAUACCGCAUACGCCCUAAGGGGGAAAGCAGGGGAUCUUCGGACCUUGUGCUAUUAGAUGAGCCUGCGUGAGAUUAGCUAGUUGGUGAGGUAAAGGCUCACCAAGGCAACGAUCUCUAGCUGGUCUGAGAGGAUGAUCAGCCACACUGGGACUGAGACACGGCCCAGACUCCUACGGGAGGCAGCAGUGGGGAAUAUUGGACAAUGGGCGAAAGCCUGAUCCAGCCAUGCCGCGUGUGUGAAGAAGGUCUUCGGAUUGUAAAGCACUUUAAGUUGGGAGGAAGGGCAUUAACCUAAUACGUUAGUGUUUUGACGUUACCGACAGAAUAAGCACCGGCUAACUCCGUGCCAGCAGCCGCGGUAAUA
rnacentral:rRNA from 1 species